GGGUGAUGUCAGCAAAUGCAUUUGGCUAUCCAGUGCUUUUUCCCAAGUGACUCCUGUGAAAUACCCUCUGUCUGGAUAAGGAACACACAGUGAGUGAAGGAAAGCAUGCCUGGUAUUUCUUGAAACGUCAAGAUGCUGAUUUUCAAAAGAACAUUCCAAGAAGAAAAUGAAAGUUUUUUUCCACUUGUUUUGAAAGCAGAAAGAGCAGAAUUUGCUUUCAGACCCUGCCAAGCUGUUGGACUGUACCUGGACCAAAUAAUCACUGCAGACACAAACAAUCCAGAGAAGUGGUGGAGCCUUUCCAUUGUACAGUCACGUUUUUCUUAGCCUUGCAGCAUGAUAAAUGGCUAGUUUGGAGCCAUGCAUUUAACAGUACAGCACUAAAACAAUGACACCAUGGAAAAUGUGCAAGGUAUCCAGGGGACUGAGUUUGUUUAAAUUUGGCACUCUCAAGAAGCACUCACUAAGAACAAGGAUGGAAACACCUCUGAAGAAUACUGUGCUAAAACUGGAGUGUGUCUUAAAUCCUUAGAUGAGAUAAAAUGAUAAUUAAAAAAUUCCUGUCUGUAA
rnacentral:lncRNA from 11 species